GCUUUCAGGGUCCCAGGUGACCACGCCCCCGCCGGGCAGUGUCUACCACGGACCAGACGCUAUUGUCCAACGGCUUUCCAUCUUUUAAUUGGUCUAUGCACUGCUCUCAUUUUACACCCAAGGAUACCCAGCAGGAAGAGGCUAACAGCCAGCAAGAAGCCCGUUGAGCAUGCACAUUCGCAACUUCCUCCUGCGUCAACCAAAGUCUGCCGGUGUUAUGAUGACUUUGGCCAAUGAGAGAGAGAUAACACAAUAGUCCAGCUUGGCACCUACCCUGGGUCCCAAAAGGACCUGCCCAUACCCUCAAUAAACGAGUUGGCUUUUG